UGGGGAAUAUUGCACAAUGGGGGAAACCCUGAUGCAGCAACGCCGCGUGAAGGAAGACGGUUUUCGGAUUGUAAACUUCUGUUCUUAGUGAAGAUAAUGACGGUAGCUAAGGAGCAAGCCACGGCUAACUACGUGCCAGCAGCCGCGGUAAUACGUAGGUGGCAAGCGUUGUCCGGAAUUACUGGGUGUAAAGGGAGCGUAGGCGGGAAGCCAAGUCAGCUGUGAAAACUACGGGCUUAACCUGUAGACUGCAGUUGAAACUGGUUUUCUUGAGUGAAGUAGAGGUUGGCGGAAUUCCGAGUGUAGCGGUGAAAUGCGUAGAUAUUCGGAGGAACACCGGUGGCGAAGGCGGCCAACUGGGCUUUAACUGACGCUGAGGCUCGAAAGUGUGGGGAGCAAACAGG
rnacentral:rRNA from 1 species